ACUUCCUGUGAAAAUGCUGUAUGUUUUCAAUGGACUUCCUGUCCAUUUAAAGAUAUCUUCAAAUGAACAGGAAGUUAUUUAGAGAUAUCUCAAAAUGAUUUAGAGAUAUCUCGAAAUGAACAGGAAGCUAUUUGAAGAUAUCUUCAAAUGAUUUGCAGAUAUCUUUAAAUGAACAGGACGUUAUUUAAAGAUAUCUUCAAAUGAUUUAGAGAUAUCUUUAAAUGAACAGGACGUUAUUUGAAGAUAUCUUUAAAUAAUAUGUGGAUUUGGCUAGCAUGGUGCGCCAAACUGUCAUUUAGAGAUAUCUCUAAACCAUUUCAAGAUAUCUCGAAAUAACUUCCUGUUUAAAAGUAAACCAGGAGAAAUAUUUUAUUCACUCAGUUAAGGAGUACAGUGGGGGCAAAGGCGCUAUGGCUCAUCCUGAAGCUGUACUAACAACUCUUGGAGCAAUUAAAAAUACACUCAGCACACUUGAAAGACAUUUUCAAGACGGUUCUAUUGAAAUUGAUAACAGUUAUAGACUGUUUCAAAAUGCAAAAACAAACUUUGAUAGAAUCAGUAUGGAAAUUCCAGAAAACGUUAGAGUGGAAAUAUCAAACUGUUUUCAUGAAUUAAUGCCGGUGUUCGAAAACGAAGGAAUUUCUGACACCCAGUCAAGCAUAAAUACCGGUGGUGAUUUCGUGGUUCAGCGGAGGAGAGAAGGUAAGUUAAUGUCUCUAUUCUCUUUGGGAACUACAGUCAUUUUAAUACACACGUGGAUUGGUUAUUGUCGCAUUUAAUUUUUUAUUUAUUUAUUUAUUUUUAAUACAGGUCAGUUUGGUUUGCCAAGGAUUUCUGUUUCGAGACACCAGCUCCAGAUUUUCGUUUCUCGAGGAUACACAGGAAAGAGGAUUGCUGAACAUUUAGGAUGCUCGGUGUCAUACAUUUAUAAGCGCUUAAGCGGAGGGUCUGUCACCAAGAGACAAAUACAGCAACAUCACAGACAGCGAACUCGAUACUGAAGUAAAGUCACUUCAUUCCCAGUAUCCAAAUGCAGGGGCCGAGAUGAUGAAUGGAUAUCUUAGAGCUAAGGGGAUAUUUGUUCAGCGACAGAGAAUACGCAAGUCUCUAAACAGCAUCGAUCCAGUAAGCAGUGCUGGACGAAGGGCCCAAGUCAUUAACAGAAGAUCUUACCACGUCCCAUCACCAAACAGCAUGUGGCAUAUGGACGGUCAUAUGAAGCUGAUAAGGUGGGGAUUUGUUAUCCAUGGUGCCAUAGAUGGUUUUUCUCGCCUUGUUCCAUAUUUGCAUUGUGCCACAGACAAUAGCUCAAGCACAGUUCUACAGGCUUUCUCCAAAGCAGUGGCAGAAUAUGGGUUACCGUCUCGCAUGAGG